GACGAACGCUGGCGGCGUGCUUAACACAUACAAGUCGAACGAAGUGGCGAACGGGUGAGUAACGGGAAAUAAACCUGCCCUUCAGAGGGGGAAAACAGUGGAAACAGACGCCUAAUACGGCAUCCUGAGGGAGGGGAUUGCGUCUGAUUAGCUAGGUGGAGGGGUAACGGCCCACCAAGGCGAUGAUCAGACGCCGGUCUGAGAGGAUGAACGGCCACAUUGGGACUGAUACACGGCCCAGACUCCUACGGGAGGCAGCAGUGGGGAAGCUUCCGCAAUGGACGAAAGUCUGACGGAGCAACGCCGCGUGAGUGAUGACGGCCUUCGGGUUGUAAAGCUCUGUUAAUCGGGACGCGGUACCGGAAUAGAAAGCCACGGCUAACUACGUGCCAGCCGCCGCGGUAAUAC
rnacentral:rRNA from 1 species